UUUUAGGUAAUACUUCAUGAUUUUUCCAAAUCUUGUGAGAACUGAUUAUAAACAAUUUCAACUUGAUAACAAACUUUAACAGUCCUCAGUAUUUUUUUUAUUUUUUUAUUGAGACCACAGAUUUAAAACACCAGGGGGAAAAAAACGCUAUGAAUUUUCACAUAAAAUUCUCUGAUUGAUGUAAACACUGCAGCAGUUCUUCCUAAUUGUUUUCACUGAUUGUAAUGUUCUUUUAUUUGUUUUAUUGUAAAUUUAUAUAAUGUGUUCUUGCUGGGGUCAAAUUGACCCUAAACAGAAGCAACUAUAAUGGAUUUUGAGGUAGCGUAAAGCUUAAUAAAGAGCUGUAAAGCUUCAAUAAUAUCUGCUUACUGGGGUUUGAUUAGGUCAGAGGAACUUAUAAAAUAGAAUUUAAAAGGAAAAUAAGAGGUCCACUUCGAAAUUAUUAGUACUAUUUUACACGUACCAUUAAGAAAUCGUUCAAUUGAGGAGGAAAAAAGUUUAAAUUAUACCCUAAAAGACCUGUUGAAGCCCAGGUUUGUAGUGUGCACCGAAUAUGAAAAACGUUUUUAUGUUACGAAUACAGGAACAGACAAAUCAACCGGAAAUAUGGUUGGCCAAUGAAGGGUAAUUUUAUCGGAAGCAGCAAAUGUUAUUUGCUUUAUACAUUGAUGGUAUUGAUUGCUCAAAGGAAAGAAAACAGUACUUUACAGUAUAUUUUGCAUUGCAUUUUGGGAACACAAGACUACAGUGAGCCCACACGUGUUUAAGGGGUGAUUGUUUCACCCAUCUUCAUCUUCUGAAUUAAUAGGUGAGUACCCUUUUGCUUUGCUUUUUAGCAUAGCCAUAAAACAUUACAUUUAUGUUCAACUCAUAUUGUGCUGUGAUAAUGAUUUUGGUAGCCUACCUGCCAUCAGAUCCCAAUAUCAACUAAAUAAGCUGUUUGUAACAUUAUAUUUCUGUCUUUAAGCCCAAGAUCUUUGUUUCUUUUACUAAAAUUGUUUUCUUUAAGUGAUUUGUUGUCAGAUUGAAUAAUGCACUGGAUUUGGGUUAAUUUGUUAAAUUUGCAUGUCAGAUUUGAGAUUGGAGUCUGAGCUGACACACAAAACAGUGCAGAAACACCUCACUCAAGCGGUCAGUGUGGUCAGAUAAUGUUAACAACUUUAACGUUCAGAUCUGGGCUGCAAAUCGCAAAAGCAUUGUAAGCUUAAAUAGGUUGUAGAAACCAUUGGUGACAAUAAUUUCUACAAUCUACUUACGACGAAGUCGAAGUAUACAAUGCUUUUGGGAAACGCAGCUGUACAGCUGAUAAUGUUAAGUUUUAUGCAGGGAUGCAUGAUAUUCCUUCUCUUUUAAUCUGAAAACAUUGGUGAUACUGGAAUUGUAUCUAACUUUUUAAACACUUGUUUCAGUGGGAAACCAACUGUAACUGUGACACCGAGUGCAGCUGGAUUUCUGAAACAGAUCUUCCAUAUUACAGGAAAAUCAUACACAUCUGGCAUGGCAUUAAGGCGUUUCAUCGGGAUAAAUCCUGAGAGAGGCACCAAGGCUGGACGAGGCAAAGUCCUGUCAAAGCGUACGGGGAAAGUCGCCCAGAAAAAGAUGACAUCAGUCAACCCUCGUGUCUCCAGUCUACUAAAGAAACUAAUGGACUUUGAGUGGGACUUUAUAUAAGUCAGUGAACCCUGUCAUUCUCACACACACACUCAACUCACUGAAACUCACACAAACACUCACAUAUGAACACUAUCUCACACACACACACUCAACACACACAAACUCACACAAACACUCUCACACACACUCAACACACACAAACUCACACAAACACUCCUUCACACACACUCAACACACACAAACUCACACAAGCACUCUCACACACACACACACACACACAAACACUCUCUCACACACACACUCAGUACACACAAACUCACACAAACACUCUCACACACACACACACACACACACAAUACACACAAACUCACACAAACACUCACACACACACAAACACUCACAGACAAACACAUGCACACACACACACACAAACUCACACAAACACUUUCUCAGACACACACACACACACACACUGUUUUAGUCAUUCAUUCAGCCACUUUCUCAGUUAUGAGUGUUUAUGUCCAGAGUUCAGUGUUUGGACAGAUAGAGAUUUGUUAUUAUUUGCUAUAAUAUGUAUUUAUUAUUUAUAUGGCUGAAAUGUAAGUUUAUUUAGCCAAAUCAGAUUUGGGAUUUGUUUACCAAUUGCCUCAUAAUUUUGUACUGAUGUUUUGCAAGAAUGGGGUUUUGCAAAU